CAAGAGCGUAUAUUAAAGUUGCUGCGGUUAAAAAGCUCGUAGUUGGAUUUCAGUCUAGGAAGGUUAACUCGCAGAAAGGUUGUACGUUGAUUUUCCUCAGACUUCGUCAGAAGCUCGUGCUGCACUUAACUGUGUGGUACGAUGUUCUGACCUUUUACCUUGAGGAAAGUAGAGUGUUUCAGGCAGGCUACCCAGCUUGAAUACAUUAGCAUGGAAUAAUGAAAUGGAUCUCGGUUCGAUUUCGUUGGUUCUAGAGCUGAGGUGAUGAUCAAUAGGAACAGGCGAAGGUAUUCGUACUUGAGAGUGAGGAGUGAAAUCCGAUGAUCUCUUAAAGACGAUCCGAGGCGAAAGCAUUUGUCAAGGAUGUUUUCAUUGA
rnacentral:rRNA from 1 species